CCUACGGGGGGCUGCAGUGGGGAAUAUUGGACAAUGGGGGGAACCCUGAUCCAGCCAUGCCGCGUGUGUGAAGAAGGCCCUCGGGUUGUAAAGCACUUUCAGUGAGGAAGAACGCCUUGUGGUUAAUACCCAUCAGGAAAGACAUCACUCACAGAAGAAGCACCGGCUAACUCCGUGCCAGCAGCCGCGGUAAUACGGAGGGUGCGAGCGUUAAUCGGAAUUACUGGGCGUAAAGCGCGCGUAGGUGGCUUGAUAAGCCGGUUGUGAAAGCCCCGGGCUCAACCUGGGAACGGCAUCCGGAACUGUCAAGCUAGAGUGCAGGAGAGGAAGGUAGAAUUCCCGGUGUAGCGGUGAAAUGCGUAGAGAUCGGGAGGAAUACCAGUGGCGAAGGCGGCCUUCUGGACUGACACUGACACUGAGGUGCGAAAGCGUGGGUAGCAAACAGGAUUAGAUACCCUGGUAGUC
rnacentral:rRNA from 1 species